GAUGAACGCAAGCGAUAGGCCUAACACAUGCAAGUCGAGGGGCAUCACGGAGUAGCAAUACUUUGGUGGCGACCGGCGCACGGGUGAGUAACGCGUAUGCAAUCUACCUACAACAGGGGGAUAACCCGGAGAAAUCCGGACUAAUACCGCAUAACACAGGGGUCCCGCAUGGGAAUAUUUGUUAAAGAUUUAUCGGUUGUAGAUGAGCAUGCGUUCCAUUAGGUAGUUGGUGAGGUAACGGCCCACCAAGCCUGCGAUGGAUAGGGGAACUGAGAGGUUUGUCCCCCACACUGGAACUGGGACACGGACCAGACUCCUACGGGAGGCAGCAGUGAGGAAUAUUGGUCAAUGGGCGAGAGCCUGAACCAGCCAAAUCGCGUGAAGGAAGACUGCCUUAUGGGUUGUAAACUUCUUUUGUACAGGAAUAAAAAGAGGGACGUGUCCUUCAUUGCAUGUACUGUACGAAUAAGCAUCGGCUAACUCCGUGCCAGCCGCCGCCGUAA
rnacentral:rRNA from 1 species